UAAUCUUUAGUAAGAAUAGAAAAAGGCCCCGCGUUCUCACAGCUGAGUUUUGUCUUGACAUUACAGAAUGCGCUGCCCCUGAGUAUAUAUACACGGACAAUCAAUGGAACAAGGCAGCACUUAUCGUGGUUGGAAUAUAUCUCAUGUUGGUGAUUGUCAUAAUUCUAGCGGUCAAAAUUCAUCGGAUGACGAAAAAGUUGGGCGUCUCAAUCGAACAGCUGGAAGCUAAGAUUCAACGUGCAAUGUUAGAAAUAGCUGUGAUAUUGAUGUAUCGGGAACUACGACAUCUGCUCCCGCAAAGGUUAGCCAGAUACGAAUCUAUUGAGCACGAUCACUAUGAAUACCAAUAGUGAACGAUCUAUAUGAACCCCUUCUUCAAAGAACCGCACCAGCAACAGGAACAAGACACCAAGUAUUAUACAAAAUGUGCAAGGAAGGCUGUAUUUGUAGGUAUUGCUUGGAUCAAGCUGAUAGGGAUCCCCAAAACAGGUACCAAGAUGUAGAGGGAGCACAUGGUACAACAGGGGUAUAUGAGAGUCUGCAAGAUAAACCCUUCCUUAACGAAGCUAGUUCAGAAAAUCAUACGCAUUAUUCUCUGCUUAAUAACUCACCUGUUUUCUCUCGAGGAGGUGAAACAAAAGCACUCCUCUUUAAUGAUCAUUCCCAAUCCACACGAAGCCGUCUUUCUCGAAGAAAGCACCGUGGAAGAAAAUCCGACAAUGACGAUGAGGGUAUUGAUGGUGAUUUGAUACCACUGGAGCAAAUUAAGCAGAAACGGGAAGAAACCGAGGAUGUUGAUUUCAUCUCGAAACUCUUAUCCAAUGUUAAAAGAGAAUCUAUUACCAAUAUUGUGGAUGCAAAAAUCAAGGUAAACGAAAAACCUACGACAGCUACAACUGGAUUUCGCAUUGCAGAGGUAUAAUAUGACAACGAAAACAUUAAAGAGGAUUCAGAUAAAGAAAGUAAAAAAUAUGAUUCAGACGAGAAUCGUCUCAUCGCUGGAGUGGGUAUUGCAGAGAUGAAUUUUGAUGUUGUAAAUAGUGGAGGCGAGUUAAACUCAUCCAACUACUUAAAACCAAUGUCAGACAAAGACAAUAAGGAAUAUAAUUCACGCGAAAAACAAACCAAUCCUAUCGCUGAAUUGUGCAUUGCAACGGUAAGCGUUGAUGUUGGAUAUAUCGAAGGCGAAUCAGAACCUGAUAAAGACGGCAAGGAAACCAUUCAGACGAAAACAAAGGCAAUGUUAUCGCUGGAUUUUGCAUUGCUGAGUUAAACUUCGAUGUUGAAAACAUUGAAGCUAUGUCCGCAUUAUCAAAUUAUUUUCAGCCAAUUAUGAAUACAGAAAGCAAGGGCGAUAAAAUACCAAUGCCCGUUUGUAUUGCAGAAAUGAAUUUUGACAUCGAAAAUGCGGAGACCAUUUCAAAUUCAACAGACUACUUAGAGUCCACUGAAUUAGAUUUCAGAACACUUGGUCAUCAAUAUGAGGAGUCGGGGAAUAAAACAUACGCAAAAUUGCAAAAUGCCACCGACACGAAAGUUUAUAUCCCCAUCUUGAGUAGCUUGAAUGAGCAUCCCACACAAGGUGAUGAUGUCGGGUCUAUUUCUUGCUUUGCGGAUUUGAAGAAUUUCCAAGACAUUUUUUCUGAAGUUGAAGAUAUGGAAAAAUCAGCAGUAGAGAUUAGGCAUUCUUCUGACAACGAAUACAAAAGAUUAACAAAUGCUACAGAAACCAACAUUAACGUAGCAGAGGAAGAUCAUGGGACAGACACGCAAGUCAUGUUUUCCGAUACCGGACUCAAUGUUUGUUUUGCAGAAUUGCAAAAUUUCGAUCAACUGAUGUUGGAAACUGAGGCAGUGGAACAGACAAUAUCGGAAGAUUCACAUGAAAGUCAUUACGACGAAAUUACGAUUGACGACAUAAACUUUGACCAUGAUUCUGAUCGCACAUCCAAGUGAUCGUAGGCAAAUAUUACUCGCUAUUGAUUUGUGGUAAACAGUUGUUUCUUUCUUCUUUCUUUCUAAGUGGAGUUUACCCUCCAGAAAUUAUAAGUAGGCGAUUUCUUGACUUUUUACCAAUUGAUUUGAUAUACAAAGAACUACCCAAAUCUUGAAACUGAAAGACUCCGUAACGACGUAUAAUACAGAGACACCCCCAGCAACUUUGUAUAAAGAUAACCAACCAAGGACUUUAUAUACGUAAAACUACCUCACUGCUUGGGAUAAAGAGAACAAUAUUACAACUUGGCAUACUAAAGACGUAUUCAAUUUCGUGUUGGAUGUAAAAUUCGUUAUUGUUGUGCCUGCGAUAAAACAUAGAAAUUAAAUCAACACAAAUUUUUCAUUUCAAAAACAUCUAUCUUAAUGUUAGAUAUAUGUGUCUUUGGUAUCCAUCGUUCAUUUUUACAAAAGAAAUUUCGCCAGUACCGUAAUUGUCACCAUUGCAUUCCUUGUGAUUAGAUGGAACUAAACUUUGUUGUGCUACUAUAUAGUCAAUCAACUUAUUACAAAUAGGUUGUAAAUAAAUCAGGUCAAUGUAAUGAAGAAUGAUUACUAUAAAACGGUACGCAUCAAUUUAAUACACUAAUAUGACACAGGUGCAAAUAAAAAUUUCCAUGUAUUUAUCAAUUGUUAAUUAAGAAUGACUGUCAUUAAAUCGGUGCAGGAAAGAAGAUCUACGGAUUUCUGCUAGCCGCUCACGCACACAAUGCGUCUGAUAUGCUACAGAGACGAAAUCCAUCCGUAUAACAUCUAAUGCCAAUUUAAGACACCCGUAGAUUUACAUGCACUAAUGUAAGAGUCAGGUGAUAUGACACCUGUGUCCCGUACCACGCCAUUGAUUUGUUCAUGGUCACAUGGCUGAUGUUCUUUUGUAUGUAUUGGGAUGUGAAAUAUAUAUUUAUAUAGUUAUUUUGUACCAAGUUAAGGAAACAAUUGUCCUGAUGUGCCUUAAAAGCAUAGAGUAGGGUGAGGGGAUCAGCUUUCUCUCACUCAAUCAUAUUGGUAAAAGGAACAAAUUGAAAAUAAUUCAAAAAUUCUAACACAUUUGGUAAACCUAUUUAAUGAUUCAAAUGCACACAUAUCUCAGGAUAAAACAUUUCUUCAAGAAUAUGUGUUCACUUUGGCACAUUUGAUAUAUUGAUUGAUUGAUUGAUCGUAUUUUGUUUAAGGUCCCGCUGGAUGCUUGAUCUAUAAAUGGCGUGUGUAUCGUAACGGCAUUUAAGAAAAUCGGGAUUGCAGAUAAGCAAUGUGUUUCAUACUUGGUACGUGUAUGCAUAACAUGUAUAUUUUGAUUUUUAAGUGAUUUCUAACCAAGAAAUUAUUAUUACAAGUACUUCCACUACUACUACUAUUAUUACUACUACCACUACUACUACUACUACUACUACUACCACUACUACUAUUACUACUGUUACUACUACUGCCACUACUACUACUACUAUUACUGUUACUACUACUACUACUACUACUACUAC